GACGAACGCUGGCGGCGUGCUUAACACAUGCAAGUCGAACGGAAAGGCCCUUCUUUUGUUGGGCGCUUGAGUGGCGAACGGGCGAGUAACAGGUGAGUAACUUGCCCUUGAUUCUGGGAUUACUUCAGGAAACUCGGGCUAAUACCGGAUUGGAGCACCUGCUGCAUGGUGGGGGUUGGAAAGUUUGGGCGGUUGGGGAUGGACUCGCGGCGUAUCCGUCUGUUGGUGUGGUAGUGGAUUACCAAGGCUUCGACGGGAAGCCGGCCUGAGAGGGUGACCGGCAAAAUUGGGACAGUGAUACGGGCCGGACUCCUGCGGGAGGCAGCAGUGGGGGAUAGUGCACGAUGGGGCGAAGCCUGAUGCAGGAACGCCGCGUGCGGGAUUGCGGCCUUCGGGUGGUUGGCCGCUUUCGCCUGUGACGGAGCGUGAGUGACGGUAAUGGAUAAAGAAGCACCGGCUAACUACGUG
rnacentral:rRNA from 1 species